rnacentral:rRNA from 1 species
GACGAACGCUGGCGGCGUGCUUAACACAUGCAAGUCGAACGGAAAGGCCCUGCUUGCAGGGUACUCGAGUGGCGAACGGGUGAGUAACACGUGGGUGAUCUGCCCUGCACUUCGGGAUAAGCCUGGGAAACUGGGUCUAAUACAGGAUAGGAGCCAUUUUUAGUGUGAUGGUUGGAAAGUUUUUUCGGUGUAGGAUGAGCUCGCGGCCUAUCAGCUUGUUGGUGGGGUAAUGGCCUACCAAGGCGGCGACGGGUAGCCGGCCUGAGAGGGUGGACGGCCACAUUGGGGCUGAGAUACGGCCCAGACUCCUACGGGAGGCAGCAGUGGGGAAUAUUGCACAAUGGGCGCAAGCCUGAUGCAGCGACGCCGCGGGGGGGAUGACGGCCUUCGGGUUGGAAACUCCUUUCGCUAGGGACGAAGCUUUUUGUGACGGUACCUAGAUAAGAAGCACCGGCUAACUACGUG